AGCGAACGCUAGCGGCAGGCUUAACACAUGCAAAUCGAGCGCCCCGCAAGGGGAGCGGCAGACGGGAGAGUAACACGUGGGAACGUACCCUUCAGUUCGGAACAACCCAGGGAAACUUGGGCUAAUACCGAAUACGUCCGUAAGGAGAAAGAUUUAUCGCUGAAGGAUCGGCCCGCGUCUGAUUAGCUAGUUGGUGAGGUAACGGCUCACCAAGGCGACGAUCAGUAGCUGGUCUGAGAGGAUGAUCAGCCUCACUGGGACUGAGACACGGCCCAGACUCCUACGGGAGGCAGCAGUGGGGAAUAUUGGACAAUGGGCGCAAGCCUGAUCCAGCCAUGCCGCGUGGAUGAUGAAGGCCUUAGGGUUGUAAAGUCCUUUUAACGGGGAAGAUAAUGACGGUACCCGUAGAAUAAGCCCCGGCUAACUUCGUGCCAGCAGCCGCCGUAAAAC
rnacentral:rRNA from 1 species